rnacentral:rRNA from 1 species
GACGAACGCUGGCGGCGUGCUUAACACAUGCAAGUCGAACGGCAAGGCCCUGCUUUUGUGGGGUGCUCGAGUGGCGAACGGGUGAGUAACACGUGAGUAACCUGCCCUUGACUUUGGGAUAACUUCAGGAAACUGGGGCUAAUACCGGAUAGGAGCUCCUGCUGCAUGGUGGGGGUUGGAACGUUUCGGCGGUUGGGGAUGGACUCGCGGCUUAUCAGCUUGUUGGUGGGGUAGUGGCUUACCAAGGCUUUGACGGGUAGCCGGCCUGAGAGGGUGACCGGCCACAUUGGGACUGAGAGACGGCCCAGACUCCUACGGGAGGCAGCAGUGGGGAAUAUUGCACAAUGGGCGGAAGCCUGAUGCAGCAACGCCGCGUGCGGGAUGACGGCCUUCGGGUUGUGAACCGCUUUCGCCUGUGACGAAGCGUGAGUGACGGUAAUGGGUAAAGAAGCACCGGCUAACUACGUG